rnacentral:tRNA from 1 species
AUUUAUGUAGUUUAUAAAAACAUUACAUUUUCACUGUAAAAAUAAAGUGUAAUCUUUCAUAAAUA